CCAAUAGCGUAUAUUAAAGUUGUUGCAGUUAAAAAGCUCGUAGUUGAACUUCGGGGUUUGCUCAUUGGUCAGGCUUAAUUGUCUGUACUGGUGGGAUAAAUCUCUACCUUCUGAGGAACUUUCAUGCCAUUUAUUUGGUGUGAUGGGAAAUCAGGACUGUUACUUUGAAAAAAUUAGAGUGUUUAAAGCAGACUAACGUCUGAAUACAUUAGCAUGGAAUAAUGAAAUAGGACGGACUGAUUCUAUUUCGUUGGUUUCUAGGAUCACCGUAAUGAUUAAUAGGGAUAGUUGGGGGCAUUAGUAUUCAAUUGUCAGAGGUGAAAUUCUUGGAUUUAUUGAAGACUAACUACUGCGAAAGCAUUUGCCAAGGAUGUUUUCAUUAAUCAAGAACGAAAGUUAGGGGAUCGAAGACGAUCAGAUACCGUCGUAGUCUUAACCAUAAACUAUGCCGACUAGGGAUCGGACGAAGUUAAUUUUAUAAUGACGCGUUCGGCGCCUUACG
rnacentral:rRNA from 1 species